UACGGAGGUGCAAGCGUUAUCCGGAUUCACUGGGUUUAAAGGGUGCGUAGGUGGGCAAGUAAGUCAGUGGUGAAAUCUCCGGGCUUAACCCGGAAACUGCCAUUGAUACUAUUUGUCUUGAAUACUGUGGAGGUCAGCGGAAUAUGUCAUGUAGCGGUGAAAUGCUUAGAUAUGACAUAGAACACCAAUUGCGAAGGCAGCUGGCUACACAAAUAUUGACACUGAGGCACGAAAGCGUGGGGAUCAAACAGG
rnacentral:rRNA from 1 species